rnacentral:tRNA from 1 species
CGAGAGGUUUAAAAGACCUGCUAACUCUUCAAUCUGGCAAC